rnacentral:rRNA from 1 species
CCUACGGGAGGCAGCAGUGAGGAAUAUUGGUCAAUGGACGCAAGUCUGAACCAGCCAAGUAGCGUGCAGGAUGACGGCCCUCCGGGUUGUAAACUGCUUUUAGUUGGGAAUAAAAGGGGGCUCGUGAGCCUCGUAUUGUAUGUACCAUCAGAAAAAGGACCGGCUAAUUCCGUCCCAGCAGCCGCGGUAAUACGGAAGGUCCGGGCGUUAUCCGGAUUUAUUGGGUUUAAAGGGAGCGUAGGCCGGCUUUUAAGUCAGCUGUGAAAGUCCGCGGCUCAACCGUGGAAUUGCAGUUGAAACUGGAGGCCGUGAGUGCACACAGGGAGGCCGGAAGUCAAGGUGUAGCGGUGAAAUGCGUAGAUAUCAUGAAGAACUCCGAUCGCGAAGGCAAGUGUCCGGGGUGCAACUGACGCUGAGGCUCGAAAGUGCGGGUAGCAAACAGGAUUAGAUACCCCAGUAGUC